UCNGNCNUNUCACAUGCAAGUCGAGCGGCAGCACGGGGAGCUUGCUCCNUGGUGCCGACGGGGGACGGGUGAGUAAGGCAUACGAAUGAGCCCGGUAGUGCGGGAUAACGAGUGGAAACCCAGACUAAUACCUCAUACGUCAUACGGGAGAAAGCAGGGGGCGUUUGGGCCUUGCGCUAUCGGAUGAGCCUAGGUCGGAUUAGCUGGUUGGUGAGGUAAUGGCUCACCAAGGCGACGAUCCGUAGCUGGUAUGAGAGGAUGAUCAGCCACAUCGGGANUGAGACACGGCCCGAACUCCUACGGGAGGCAGCAGUGGGGAAUAUUGGACAAUGGGNGCAAGCCUNAUCCAGCCAUGCCGCGUGUGUGAAGAAGGCCCUCGGGUUGUAAAGCACUUUCAGUGGGGAAGAAAGCANUNUGGUUAAUACCGAGGAGGGACUCNCGCA
rnacentral:rRNA from 1 species